GUGGGGAAUAUUGGACAAUGGGGGCAACCCUGAUCCAGCCAUGCCGCGUGAGUGAUGAAGGCCUUAGGGUUGUAAAGCUCUUUUACCUGGGAAGAUAAUGACUGUACCAGGAGAAUAAGCCCCGGCUAACUUCGUGCCAGCAGCCGCGGUAAUACGAAGGGGGCUAGCGUUGUUCGGAAUCACUGGGCGUAAAGCGCAUGUAGGCGGCUAUUCAAGUCGGGGGUGAAAUCCUGAGGCUCAACCUCAGAACUGCCUUCGAUACUGUUUAGCUCGAGUGUGGAAGAGGUUGGUGGAACUGCGAGUGUAGAGGUGAAAUUCGUAGAUAUUCGCAAGAACACCAGUGGCGAAGGCGGCCAACUGGUCCAUUACUGACGCUGAGAUGCGAAAGCGUGGGGAGCAAACAGGAUUAGAUACCCGUGUAGUCC
rnacentral:rRNA from 1 species